GAUGAAGAACGUAGCGAAAUGCGAUAGGUAGUGUGAAUUGCAGAUGUAACGUGAAUCAUCGAAUCUUUGAACGCAAAUUGCACUCUCUGGUAUUCCGGGGAGUAUGCCUGUUUGAGGGUCGCCAAAUCAAAAUCGAAAUUCAUUUGCUUUUUUGUAAAUGUUUAUCGGAUUUGAGCCGUCUUUUUUUAUUUUAAUUAAAGUGGCUUAAAAUGUAUUUUUUUGGUAUCGAAAUACGUUAUUUUACGAUCAAAUUGAUUAAAAAAACAAACGUUUUCGAAUGCCGCCUUUUUAAUGUAAUACGUUUGACUGUGAUGGUUAAUCAUAGUUUCAUUCGUAUACGAUUUUUUAAUUUUUGACCUCAAAUCAGGUAAGAACACCCGCUGAACUUAAGCAUAUCAAUAAGCGGAGG
rnacentral:misc_RNA from 1 species